rnacentral:rRNA from 1 species
GGAUCCAGACUUUGAUCAUGGCUCACCACUAACGCUGGCGGCGCGCCUAACACAUGCAAGUCGAACGAGAGAGAGGGAGCUUGCUUCCUCGAUCGAGUGGCGAACGGGUGAGUAACGCGUGAGGAACCUGCCUCAAAGAGGGGGACAACAGUUGGAAACGACUGCUAAUACCGCAUAAGCCCACGGCUCGGCAUCGAGCAGAGGGAAAAGGAGCAAUCCGCUUUGAGUUGGCCUCGCGUUCGAUUAGCUAGUUGGUGAGGUAACGGCCCACCAAGGCGACGAUCGGUAGCCGGACUGAGAGGUUGAACGGCCACAUUGGGACUGAGACACGGCCCAGACUCCUACGGGAGGCAGCAGUGGGGAAUAUUGCACAAUGGGGGAAACCCUGAUGCAGCGACGCCGCGUGGAGGAAGAAGGUCUUCGGAUUGUAAACUCCUGUUGUUGAGGAAGAUAAUGACGGUACUCAACAAGGAAGUGACGGCUAACUACGUGCCAGCAGCCGCGGUAAAACGUAGGUCACAAGCGUUGUCCGGAAUUACUGGGUGUAAAGGGAGCGCAGGCGGGCGAUCAAGUUGGAAGUGAAAUCCAUGGGCUCAACCCAUGAACUGCUUUCAAUACUGAUUGUCUUGAGUAGUGCAGAGGUAGGCGGAAUUCCCGGUGUAGCGGUGGAAUGCGUGGAUAUCGGGAGGAACACCAGUGGCGAAGGCGGCCUACUGGGCACCAACUGACGCUGAGGCUCGAAAGUGUGGGUAGCAAACAGGAUUAGAUACCCUGGUAGUCCACACCGUAAACGAUGAUUACUAGGUGUUGGAGGAUUGACCCCUUCAGUGCCGCAGUUAACACAAUAAGUAAUCCACCUGGGGAGUACGACCGCAAGGUUGCAACUCAA